GUGAGUAGUUCAGAGUUUGAUCCUGGCUCAGGAUGAACGCUAGCGGCAGGCCUAACACAUGCAAGUCAGGGGCAGCACAAAGGAAAGCUUGCUUUUCUUGGUGGCGACCGGCGCACGGGUGCGUAACGCGUAUGCAACCUACCCGUAACUGGGGGAUAAUCUGGAGAAAUUCGGUCUAAUACCCCAUAACACAUUGAGUGGCAUCACUUGAUGUUGAAAAUUCCGAUGGUUACGGAUGGGCAUGCGUUGUAUUAGCUAGUUGGUGAGGUAACGGCUCACCAAGGCUACGAUACAUAGGGGAACUGAGAGGUUAAUCCCCCACACUGGUACUGAGACACGGACCAG
rnacentral:rRNA from 1 species